CCCUUAGAUGUUCUGGGCCGCACGCGCGCUACACUGACGAAGUCAGCGAGCAUGUCCUACGCCGACAGGUGCGGGGAAUCUUGUCAAACUUCGUCGUGAUGGGGAUUGAUUAUUGAAAUUCUUGAUCAUCAACGAGGAAUUCCUAGUAAGCGCAAGUCAGCAGCUUGCGUUGAUUACGUCCCUGCCCUUUGUACACACCGCCCGUCGCUACUACCGAUUGAAUGAUUUAGUGAGAUCUUCGGAUUGGCGCCACUGCGGCUCAGCAAUGGGCUCGGUGGAUGCCGAAAAGUUGAUCAAACUUGAUCAUUUAGAGGAAGUAAAAGUCGUAACA
rnacentral:rRNA from 1 species